rnacentral:rRNA from 1 species
GAUUAACGCUGGCGGCGUGCCUAACACAUGCAAGUCGAACGGACCUUUAAUGUUGAGAAUUCCGAUCCUUCGGGCGUCUCAAUAUUAAUGGUUAGUGGCGGACGGGUGAGUAACACGUAAGGAACCUGCCUCAAGGAUUGGGAUAACUCCGAGAAAUCGGAGCUAAUACCGGAUAGUUCAACGGACCGCAUGGUCCGCUGAUGAAAGGCGCUCCGGCGUCACCUUGAGAUGGCCUUGCGGUGCAUUAGCUAGUUGGUGGGGUAACGGCCCACCAAGGCGACGAUGCAUAGCCGACCUGAGAGGGUGAUCGGCCACACUGGGACUGAGACACGGCCCAGACUCCUACGGGAGGCAGCAGUAGGGAAUCUUCCACAAUGGACGAAAGUCUGAUGGAGCAACGCCGCGUGAGUGAUGAAGGUUUUCGGAUCAUAAAACUCUGUUGUAAGGGAAGAACACGUACGAGAGGAAAUGCUCGUACCUUGACGGUACCUUACGAGAAAGCCACGGCUAACUACGUGCCAGCAGCCGCCGUAA